AGCGAACGUUAGCGGCGUGCUUAACACAUGCAAGUCGAGCGGUAAGGCCCUUUCGGGGGUACACGAGCGGCGAACGGGUGAGUAACACGUGGGUGACCUGCCCUCAGCUCUGGGAUAAGCCUGGGAAACCGGGUCUAAUACCGGAUAUGACUCCAUGACGCAUGUUGUGGGGUGGAAAGCCUUGUGCGGCUGAGGAUGGGCCCGCGGCCUAUCAGCUUGUUGGUGGGGUGAGGCCUACCAAGGCGACGACGGGUAGCCGGCCUGAGAGGGCGACCGGCCACACUGGGACUGAGACACGGCCCAGACUCCUACGGGAGGCAGCAGUGGGGAAUCUUGCGCAAUGAGCGAAAGCCUGACGCAGCGACGCCGCGUGAGGGAUGACGGCCU
rnacentral:rRNA from 1 species